rnacentral:rRNA from 1 species
UACGUAGGGGGCAAGCGUUGUCCGGAUUUAUUGGGCGUAAAGAGCGUGUAGGCGGCCAGGUAGGUCAGCUGUGAAAACUCGAGGCUCAACCUCGAGACGUCGGUUGAAACCAUCUGGCUAGAGUCCGGAAGAGGAGAGUGGAAUUCCUGGUGUAGCGGUGAAAUGCGCAGAUAUCAGGAAGAACACCCGUGGCGAAGGCGGCUCUCUGGGACGGUACUGACGCUGAGACGCGAAAGCGUGGGGAGCAAACAGG